rnacentral:lncRNA from 1 species
UAAUAUUUGUUAUAAUAUUUUCUAUUCAAUUAAUUAAUUACUGUUACCAAGUACAUAGUGAAUAUGUUGUUGUGUAUUUUGGUAAACCACGAAACGAAAGUGAAUAUGUAGUGUAUAAAGGUAAACAACGAAGCCCUUACCAAAGCUGUUGUUUUAACAAUUAGACAAUUUGUGUAAUUGUAAAAACAAGUCAAUUAUUAAAAUAAAAUGGAAAACUAUGAGUCCCUUUCAAUAAAUCAAACUUGCAUGCCAAAUAAUUAGCAAAUUUAAGGUGUUUGUUUUUCAGUAAAGUUUAAACAGCAUUAAACCAACAAUCCUGUAAAAUGCUCAACUGGUUAAAAUAAUGCAGAAAAAUACACAAUUAUAUCUCAUGUAUAAGUCCAAAUAAUUAUGACGUCUGGCAAGGCUAUUUUAUUAUUUUUCUGGGACGCCUUCCUACGACGUUCGUAGGAAGGCGUCCCAGAAAAAAAAAUUAACAUAGCCUUUUCGGUCAUAGGAAGGUGUUCCAGAAUAAAAUUAAAAAAGCCUUGCCAGACGUAAUAAUUAUUUGGACUACUCAUAUAUAUAUAUAUAUAUAUAUAUCAUUAAAAAUACACCAAAAAAGUCAUUAGUUGAGAAAAAUAAAUAUAUACAAAAUGUACAUGAACACCCA